CCACAACUUAGGAGGAUUCGUUACAUUCAUUUGCACAUAAAUCCAUAUAGUAUGUUGAAAUUAAUUAUAAAAAAAAUGGAAGUACAUAUUUUAAUACACUAUCUUCCACAUAUGCUUUGGAAGCUAGAUAGAAUAAACAAAAGGUACUCACACAAGAGUAUAUUUAUCUGAAAAUGAUAUUAAGCCUAUCUACAAUAUAUAAUAGUGUGAAAUAGUGACAUAUAUUCUAGCCAAAGAUUAGAUCACUCUACAGUCUACAUUUUCCUCUUCUGUGCCAUAUGUGAACUUCAAUAUGAUUGGUGAGACCAUGCAGCUGCUAGGAACAUUAUUGGAGGUUUAAUUUUUCCAUUUUUCUUUAAGUUAGUUGAUAAGAUCCACACACUCUCAUAUCACUUAAACUUUGUGGCUUGGUAGAAAAACCUCCCAAAAAAAAAAAGUAAUAACCUUCAACAUCGAGUGCCAAGAUUGAAAAAGGAAAGUUAUGUGUAUGGUCACAUGCAGUUUUAACAUUCAAUAAAAGAAAACAAAUUGAAAAAUAAUUAUUCAUGUAUUUUUAUAACCCUUUCUAUAUCCAUAGAUUGAACCAGUGGUUCACAUGUGACGGACCUCAUAAGCGAUGGACUACAAGGAUAAAACCCUAUCCUUCAAUCUUUCAAUUUGUGGUUCUCAACAUCAUAGUAGAGUUCUUUAAUUAGUUCACCUACAAUGGUUGAGCCAGUGGUUCACAUGUUCUUUUUUGUGACAAUUUUUUUUGGGUUUCAAACGGUAUCUUCUGACUCAAUAAACUAAGAGUUAAUUUUUCGUGAAUCAAAAUUUUAUUUAAAAAUUUGUCAUUGACCAAUAAAUUAUUUUACAUGUAUAAAAUAAAAUUCGAAUAUUAAACACUUAUUUAAGCCAAUUUGUAAAUUAAUCAUUCAAUUAAGUUAAGUUAGCCUUUUUUUUUUUUGUUAACAAAAGGGUUAGAGGCCUAAAACACAAAGAAAAACUAAAAACAGUUAACUCUUCUGAACUUUUUGGGUCAACAAUGACAUCCUUUUAUUUUUUUAGGUCUGAUGAAACUUUACCAUUCUAGUGGGCUUACAUAUCAAAUACCUCCACACAAACAAGACCCAUAUCCGCAGCUCACGGCCCAUUUUUCCAAGUUACAAACAGUGGAAAGAAUCUUUAAUCAGUGUGUGUAAAUUUGUGAUGUGUAUAAUUGGGAGUUGUCCAAUUUAUCUUAUCAAAUAAAUAAAGAAAUAAAAUAUAGUUGUAAUGGAGAAAUUUUCUUUAUAAUCAAGAUGUGAGCAUACAGUUCCCAAUAACAGACUCAUUACCUAAAGAAAAACAGGUGCUCAAAACGGGGUUAUAUAGUGAUGCCUGUGAAUUUGCCUAUAAAUAACCAUGAGAAAGUUCAUAAAGAAAAAAAUUCUAGAGAGAUUGAAAGAACUAAAGAAGAACAUAUACAUACUUACCCCAAAUUCUUGGAGAGAAGCCUAUAUAUAAUUUUUCAAACCCAAUAGUUGGCUUUAAUUUGUGGUAAUCAUAACUUAUGAUAUUUGUGAUAAAAAGACCAAAUAUACAUUCUCAACAUCAAUGUUAUUUAUACCGUUCAUUUUCUACAUUUUUACUCUACACCUCACUUUUAUGACAAAAUAAUAGAAAAAUUUAUAUUUUUUCCUUUAUCAUACAUAAAAGGAAGGUGCAGAGAAUGAGUAUAGAAAAUGAAAUGUAGAAAUAACAUUAUUGAUUCUCCUCCAAAUUUUUCAACAAAUUCCUUUGUGAGAAACUAAGGGAAACGGCAGUAAUAGUAAUGCAGUAGCUGCUAGGAACUUGGAAGCAAAAUCCAAAGAAGAGAGAAUAAAAUUUA
rnacentral:lncRNA from 1 species